CAAUAGCGUAUAUUAAAGUUGUUGCAGUUAAAAAGCUCGUAGUUGGAUUUCUGGUAGGAGUGACCGUUCCGAACUUGAUUGUUCGUGUAUUGUGUUUUCUCCAGCCAUCCUUGUGGAGAACUUUUCUUGCAUUAAUUUGUAGGGAUUGGGACCCGCAUCGUUUACUGUGAAAAAAUUAGAGUGUUUAAAGCAGGCAAUCGCUUGAAUACAUUAGCAUGGAAUAAUAAGAUAGGACUUUGGUACUAUUUUGUUGGUUUGCAUACCAAAUUAAUGAUCAACAGGAACAGUUUGAGGAUAUUCGUAAGAACAUGUCAGAGGUGAAAUUCUUGGAUUUUGAUCAGACGAACUACUGCGAAAGCAUUUAUCAAGGAUGUUUUCAUUAA
rnacentral:rRNA from 1 species